AUUGAACGCUGGCGGCAGGCCUAACACAUGCAAGUCGAGCGGCAGCGGGAAAGUAGCUUGCUACUUUUGCCGGCGAGCGGCGGACGGGUGAGUAAUGCCUGGGAAAUUGCCCAGUCGAGGGGGAUAACAGUUGGAAACGACUGCUAAUACCGCAUACGCCCUACGGGGGAAAGCAGGGGACCUUCGGGCCUUGCGCGAUUGGAUAUGCCCAGGUGGGAUUAGCUAGUUGGUGAGGUAAUGGCUCACCAAGGCGACGAUCCCUAGCUGGUCUGAGAGGAUGAUCGGCCACACUGGAACUGAGACACGGUCCAGACUCCUACGGGCGGCAGCAGUGGGGAAUAUUGCACAAUGGGGGAAACCCUGAUGCAGCCAUGCCGCGUGUGUGAAGAAGGCCUUCGGGCUGUAAAGCACUUUCAGCGAGGAGGAAAGGUUGAUGCCUAAUACGUAUCAACUGUGACGUUACUCGCAGAAGAAGCACCGGCUAACUCCGUGCCAGCCGCCGCGGUAACAC
rnacentral:rRNA from 1 species